UUGUAAUGGUAAAUAUCAGUA
rnacentral:piRNA from 1 species